GUUCGGAUUGCAGGCUGCAACUCGCCUGCAUGAAGCUGGAAUUGCUAGUAAUCGCGGAUCAGCAAGCCGCGGUGAAUACGUUCCCGGGCCUUGUACACACCGCCCGUCACACCAUGAGAGUCGGGAACACCCGAAGUCCGUAGUCUAACCGCAAGGGGGCGCGGCCGAAGGUGGGUCCGGUAAUUGGGGUGAAGUCGUAACAAGGUAUC
rnacentral:rRNA from 1 species